GAUGAACGCUAGCGGCAGGCCUAACACAUGCAAGUCGAGGGGUAGAGUUAGCUUGCUAACUUGAGACCGGCGCACGGGUGCGUAACGCGUAUGCAAUCUGCCUUGUACUGAGGGAUAGCCCAGAGAAAUUUGGAUUAAUACCUCAUAGUAUCUUCUGGUGGCAUCACCAGAUUAUUAAAGUUCCAACGGUACAAGAUGAGCAUGCGUCCCAUUAGCUAGUUGGUGUGGUAACGGCACACCAAGGCAAUGAUGGGUAGGGGUCCUGAGAGGGAGAUCCCCCACACUGGUACUGAGACACGGACCAGACUCCUACGGGAGGCAGCAGUGAGGAAUAUUGGUCAAUGGGCGCAAGCCUGAACCAGCCAUGCCGCGUGCAGGAUGACGGUCCUAUGGAUUGUAAACUGCUUUUGUACGGGAAGAAACACUCCUACGUGUAGGAGCUUGACGGUACCGUAAGAAUAAGGAUCGGCUAACUCCGUGCCAGCCGCCGCAGUAAAAC
rnacentral:rRNA from 1 species